rnacentral:rRNA from 1 species
CCCUUAGACGUUCUGGGCCGCACGCGCGCUACACUGACCAGUGCAACAAGCAUCCGUCCUUGGCCGACAGGCUCGGGCAAUCUUUGAACGCUGGUCGUGAUGGGGAUAGACUUUUGCAAUUUUUGGUCUUCAACGAGGAAUUCCUAGUAAACGCAAGUCAUCAACUUGCAUUGAUUACGUCCCUGCCCUUUGUACACACCGCCCGUCGCACCUACCGAUUGAAUGGUCCGGUGAAGCCUCCGGAUUGGCGCGCACCUCGGUGCCGCCGAGAAGUUGGCUAAACCUUACCAUUUAGAGGAAGAUGAAGUCGUAACA